rnacentral:rRNA from 1 species
AACGAACGCUGGCGGCAGGCUUAACACAUGCAAGUCGAACGGGUGUAGCAAUACAUCAGUGGCGCACGGGUGAGUAACGCGUGGGAAUAUGCCCUUUGGUACGGAACAACCUCGGGAAACUGAGGCUAAUACCGUAUAAUAUCUGCGGAUCAAAGAUUUAUCGCCAAAGGAUUAGCCCGCGUUGGAUUAGGUAGUUGGUGAGGUAACGGCUCACCAAGCCGACGAUCCAUAGCCGGUCUGAGAGGAUGAUCAGCCACACUGGGACUGAGACACGGCCCAGACUCCUACGGGAGGCAGCAGUGAGGAAUAUUGGACAAUGGAGGAAACUCUGAUCCAGCCAUGCCGCGUGAGUGAUGAAGGCCUUCGGGUUGUAAAGCUCUUUUACCCGGGAUGAUAAUGACAGUACCGGGAGAAUAAGCUCCGGCUAACUCCGUGCCAGCAGCCGCCGUAA